rnacentral:rRNA from 1 species
GAUGAACGCUGGCGGCGUGCCUAAUACAUGCAAGUCGAGCGAACAGACGAGGAGCUUGCUCCUCUGACGUUAGCGGCGGACGGGUGAGUAACACGUGGAUAACCUACCUAUAAGACUGGGAUAACUUCGGGAAACCGGAGCUAAUACCGGAUAAUAUAUUGAACCGCAUGGUUCAAUAGUGAAAGACGGUUUUGCUGUCACUUAUAGAUGGAUCCGCGCCGCAUUAGCUAGUUGGUAAGGUAACGGCUUACCAAGGCGACGAUGCGUAGCCGACCUGAGAGGGUGAUCGGCCACCUUGGAACUGAGCCACGGUCCAGACUCCUACGGGAGGCAGCAGUAGGGAAUCUUCCGCAAUGGGCGAAAGCCUGACGGAGCAACGCCGCGUGAGUGAUGAAGGUCUUCGGAUCGUAAAACUCUGUUAUUAGGUAAGAACAAAUGUGUAAGUAACUAUGCACGUCUUGACGGUACCUAAUCAGAAAGCCACGGCUAACUACGUG